rnacentral:misc_RNA from 1 species
UGAUUAUGAAUUUAAAUUCUAUACUUAAAGUGGAAAGUAUAAAAUUUUAAUGCAAUAUUGCAUGUAAAUAUCUUAUUAUUUGUGAUAUUCACAUUUGUUCAAAUAGAGCAUAAAGUUAUUUCAUUUAUGUAAUAGGCUAAUUUAAGAAAGUUCAACAAAAGUUUAAUUGACCUGCCGUAUUUAGAGAAAUUAUAUAGUAUCACUGUAAUUUUGCUAAUAUGGAAUGGCAAACAAAUGGUAAGUAGACAAUUAAGCAUAUAUAUGGUUAUUAUUUUUUUUAAAAAAUUGCAAUAUGGUUAUAGAUUUUUGGG